rnacentral:rRNA from 1 species
UACGAGGGGGGCAAGCGUUGUUCGGAAUUAUUGGGCGUAAAGGGUGCGUAGGUGGUUCGGCAAGUCUUGUGUGAAAUCUUCAGGCUCAACUUGAAGUCUGCACAAGAAACUGCCGGGCUUGAGUAUGGGAGAGGUGAGUGGAAUUUCCGGUGUAGCGGUGAAAUGCGUAGAUACCAUCAAGAACGCCGAUUGCGAAGGCAGCUAACUAGGCUGUAACUGACGCUGAGGCACGAAAGUGUGGGGAUCAAACAGG